GUCCUGUGUCCUCAGCAUCAGGAGACGUGAGUCUGGACAGUGUUACACAUUUCAUAAUAUCUGUAUAAUACUGUUAUGUAACCUGCCUGUGUCCUCAGCAUCAGGAGACAGUGAGUCGGACAGUGUUACACCAUCAUAUAUCUGUAUAAUACUGUAUGUAACCUGUCCUGUGUCCUCCGCAUCAAAGAGGACAGUGAGUCUGGACAGUGUCUACCACAUAUAUAUCUGUAUAUACUGUAUGUAACCUGUCCUGUGUCCUCAGCAUCAGGAGACAGUGAGUCUGGACAGUGUUACACAUCAUAUAUCUGUAUAAUACUGUAUGUAACCUGUCCUGUGUCCUCAGCAUCAGGAGACAGUGAGUCUGGACAGUGUUACACAUCAUAUCUGUAUAAUACUGUAUGUAACCUGACUGUGUCCUCAGCAUCAGGAGACAGUGAGGUCUGGACAGUGUUA
rnacentral:lncRNA from 1 species